CUCUAUAAGGCCGAGGGGGCGGGGCGCCCGUGGGUGUGGACAGAACCGAGGUGGGAGGAGGGUACAAAGCAACUGAGUGCCUCUCUUGGCUGUUGCCUAGCCUGAACGCCUGGGUUGAGAAAACCCCCAGCCGGGCUCCUCUGAAAUGCCCUGCUCCUGGCCGGACGCGGAGCGCACUAGGCCCCUCCUCCAGUUCUCCGCCAAAGUGUCGGGGGGCGGCAAGCAGCUACAAAACAGGGCUCCUUGGAAACAAAUGGCUGAUUCUACAUCUGUGGUGGAGAAAAUACAAGAUAAGCCUAGAGCAUCUUGUACCGCCAGAAAUUAAAGAAGUGUUCAGAAGACAGAAGAAUUGGGGGAUGUGUCAAAAAGACAAAGAAGCCAACAUGAAAAAAAAUUCCAAUGAUCAAAGGUGGAACCAUUUGAACAACAAAAUAUAUAAGGUAGUAUUGAAUAAGCCAAACGAAUAUACUAUACAAUGGGAAAAACAGUAACUUGAGUAACUUUACAGUGGAGAAACCUGGCAAACGAAAUCUUUAUCAACUAAUGGUUAAUAUCGAGAGUGAUGUGGUGGAUAUUAUACAUGUCCUGAUAUGGUGUGAUGAGAAAAGUCACUCGAUUCCUGUAAUAAUCUUUCCAAAAAUCCCAGAAUCCCAAUCUAGCCGUGAAAAUGACAAGCCCAGAAUGGGGGUCAUUCUACAAGGUAUGAGGCCCAGACUCCUCAAGAAUAUCAAGGUUGUGAAAACAAAAUGAGAAACUGACAAAUGACAAUGGGGAGACAAGUAAAUGUAAUGUGGCACCCUUGACUGGUUACUGGAAUAAAAAGAACCCUAAGUAGAAAAAUUGGUGAAAUUCAAAUAUCUCCAUUCAGUUAAUGAUAUGCAUAUAUUGGUUUCUUGGUUUUUGCAAAUAUACUAUGGUAAGAAAUUAACAAUAGAAAAACUAGAUGAGAGGUGUAAGGGAGUUAAGUAGCUCUGCAAACUUCCCAUAAAUUUAAAAUUAUUCCAAAAAUUAAGUUUAAAAAAGAUUGCCA